rnacentral:rRNA from 1 species
AGUGAACGCUGGCGGUAGGCCUAACACAUGCAAGUCGAACGGCAGCACAGUAAGAGCUUGCUCUUACGGGUGGCGAGUGGCGGACGGGUGAGGAAUACAUCGGAAUCUACUUUUUCGUGGGGGAUAACGUAGGGAAACUUACGCUAAUACCGCAUACGACCUACGGGUGAAAGCAGGGGAUCUUCGGACCUUGCGCGAUUGAAUGAGCCGAUGUCGGAUUGGCUAGUUGGCGGGGUAAAGGCCCACCAAGGCGACGAUCCGUAGCUGGUCUGUGAGGAUGAUCAGCCACACUGGAACUGAGACACGGUCCAGACUCCUACGGGAGGCAGCAGUGGGGAAUAUUGGACAAUGGGCGCAAGCCUGAUCCAGCCAGACCGCGUGGGUGAAGAAGGCCUUCGGGUUGUAAAGCCCUUUUGUUGGGAAAGAAAAGCAGCAGGUUAAUACCCAGCUGUUCUGACGGUACCCAAAGAAUAAGCACCGGCUAACUUCGUG